CUGUAGUUCAAUGGUAGAAUAUGGGUCUGUGGAACCUAUGACGCGGGUUCGAUUCCCGCUGGUGGCCCCA
rnacentral:tRNA from 1 species